AUAGGGAAUGGAUGCGAUCAAAGCAUUUCAUAUGCACAUAUGAAAUUUUUCAAACAAUAACAAGAAAAGAAAACAAAUCUGUCGUGGAGAGGCACUCAUGAAGUCCUAUAUUUCCCUGAGGAGUUUUUGGCAACUGUUAGUGGCUGUAUGGCCACUGCUUUAAUAAAUAGUCUCCCACCCUUGUUCCUGUAAGCAACUCAAGUCAACCCCCCCUCUAACACACAGACACACACACACACACACACACACACACACACAGCAUGAAAGGGUAUGGGAGAGGAAGACUACUCAGGAGUUAGGAGGUGCUCAGUGGGAGGAGGAGAGAGACAAAGGAUGAAUAGGAUCAAAACAUAUGCUUGUAUAAAAUGGACAUAAAAAUAAAGAUGCUAAAAUAGAAUAAAAAGAACUUAUGGAACUACCUUCCAGGAUGAGAGCUGAGAAGACAGUUAUCAUUGAUCAAUGACAGGCAGAAUCACAUCUUGACCACGUUGAUGCAAAACCUACAACUCUCUUCUUAGAGGGAAAGGCAGAUGGUUGAUUCCGGAGCCAUUUUGAGCGAGCAUAGACCAAUACAGAUCUAGGUUACCCCACAUUCCAUGUUUUCGUGCCAAAGCAGUCUUAGUUUUGGGGUUGGCAGGUGCAAGUGGUUGGCUAAAUUAAUAGGUUCCAACAGGUUUCCAUCUAUCGAUCCUAAGAUAUUACUUCAGACACAGAGUUAAGAAAGAAAUGGCUAUUCAGUGGGCUAGAUUAGUCCAAGCUAAGCCUCUGGACCUAGAACAUUCCAAUCUCUCCCCAGGACUGAGAAUCUAAUCAGUCUCUGUAGACACCUCUUGUUUUCAGGUGUUCUCAUUCAUACCCAGGACAGCUGUGAUGUACCCCAUAUUCUCUAUCUCUAUGUAGCUUUCCUAUCAGUACCUCAAACAGACCCGAGGCCCCUGGACAUUGUAUUUGUUAAUUUUCUCAAUGGAGCUAUGCUGGUUAAACUUCUCUCUGCUUUCAGCCUUACUCAUCCCUGUAACUGUGUUAGGGCAGCAGGUCCAGGCCUAAGUUGUUGAGACUGGUAAAACCCGGACUUUUAUGGAAAACAGUCAGGUAAAGAAAGUAGUCUGGGGGUAGAGCCACACAUUUAAUCAGUGACUGUCUGAAAAAGUGCCAUCCUAUCAGCGACUUAAUCCACUGGCCCAAAUAAGAUGGUGCAUGGUAAAACCACGAGGCACCUUUCAAAGAACUCAGGAGACCUGGGUAAGCAUUCUCAGGAUGUAAUCUUUAUACUGUUCACAGCAGUAUAAACCAAGCAGACCAAAAUGGCUGAGGUGGGGAGAGGAGGAGAAACCUAAUGAUCCCAGCUUUGAGAGAGCAUAUGUACAUUUUAGGAAUGUUGUAAUAAACAAUGAGCGUUGUUGCCUCAUUCAAGGUGCCAAGCCUUCAAGAUUUUGGCAGCUCUGUCCUGUGGCACAGCAGGCUUUCUGUCCCCUCCCAGGCAGUCAGAGCAGAGCCUGACAGAGCUGCUUUCCACACUCAUGAUCACAAUCUGAUGGGGGAAAAUUCCAGAAUAGAUUAGAUGUCAACCAAAAGCAAGAUUAAAUAGGAUGAGCCCAACACACACGCACGCACACACACACACACACACACACAGAGUCAGACACACAUACUCAUACACACACACUCCAUGCACACUCACACAUACUCGCACACACUCACACACACACACUCACAAACUCACACACUUAGACCCAAGGACACACUUGCGCACACACACACACACUCUACAUUCACAUACUUAUACUCACACAGAUAGUCACACACAGUACAUACUCACACACACACACUCACACACACACACUCAUACUUACAUUCACACACACCACACUCACACACACUCCACAUUCAUACAUACUCACACACACACUUACACACACACACUCAUACUUACACUCAUAUACAUUCACACACACCAUACUCACACACACUCCACAUACACACUCACACACACACAUAUACUCCACAUUCACACACAGUCACACACACAGUCACACACAUACACAGCACCACCACCAACAUCAACAACAACAUUGACAACAACAGCAUCACCCACACAGUCUUUCAUUUCUCUCUUUACCUUGUGGCUAUAACAAGCGUCUUCAAGGUCUUUGCAAUAAUAUGAAAUCUACCUGCGAACCAUCAUAGACUUGCAUGGUUUAGUCAGAUUCUGUUUAAGCUUUCCCUACAGUCUGGUUUGAAUUUUUUAUGUUUUGUGUGUUUUAUGUUUGGUCAAGUCAUUUUCUCCCUUGGCCCAUUCUUGAGUUUUACUAAAGAAAAGCAGGUGAGGACAUCUCAGCUCACGCAUGGAUAGAUUUUCACAUACUGGACGUAAACCUCUGGCCAACUAACCUACAGUAUAGGCCCUUUAAAUCCAAGAUGGGUGUGAAACUGGGUAGGACUUUAGAAAUGGUGCCACCUAAAACAGCUGCUUUAUCCUCCUGCCCACAGAACCUGGAUUCGUUCUCCAGAGGCAAAAAGGUUUGUCUUACUUUGGGAUUUGUGAUGUGCCCCACUUCAGUGCUUCCUACUAGCAUGGGCAACUGUAAGACCCAGAAGAAAAAAGGUGUCAUCCUAUAUACAGUUAUAAUAAAUAUAAAUAGGAAGGUUAUGUUGUUGGACCUACAUAUUUAAUACAUUUUAAAUUGGUGUAUAUACAUUAUACAUAGUACAUGGUUUUAUAAGAACAUUACAUAUAUAUAUACAUAUAUAUUCAUAUAUCUUAUACUAUACCUCUCAUAAUGCAUUUCCUCUCCUUUCUUCUGUCUUGCCUCUCCCUUUAGUACUCUAGCUUCAUGAGAUAUAUAGAGAUAAAUAGAUACACAUAUAGAUAUAGAUAUAGAUGAGGUUGCUUAUAGGUAUAAGGAUUCCCAAAUGAAAGAGAACAUCUAGUAUUUAUAUAUUUUUUUAAAAUCUUUCUUUAAAUUGUUGGGGGAGUGCACUCGCACAUGGCCUAUUGAAUCCAGAGGGGUCUGUGGAAUCCCCUGACGUUGGAGCUAAAGUGGUUGUGAGCCAUCUAAUUUGGUUGUAUGCCGGCCAUCAACCCAAGUCCUUUGUGAGAGUGAUAUGCUUUUAGUCACUGAGCCCUGGCAUUUGUCCUUUUGAAGUGUCGUAAUUCAUUUAAUAUGUACAUUUAUUUUAGUGCACAUGGCAUAUUAUUUUUAAAAGACCUAUCUGUUAUUAUUUCGCUAUGUGUACGUGUCUAUGUCUGUGUGUGGGUAUGUAAACAAGAGUGCGGGGUACCAACAGAAGCCAAAUGCCCAACCUGGGUGUUGUAGACCAAAUUCACAUCCUCUGCAAGAGAAAUGUGUUCUUAAUUACUGAACUACAACUCCAGCUCCUAACUACAUUUUUCACAGCUCAAAAAAGCUCAGUCUUGUCCAUAAACCAUGUGGUUCAUCAGUUCUCCACUGAUGGACACCGGUGCCAAUUCUAUAGCUUAGUGAUUGUGAGUAGAGCAAAAGUAGAUCAUGCGGUGGGUGCCAAUAUCUCUGUAAUAUAUCGUCUUUAAGUUCUUUGAGAAGAUACUCAAAAAUGAUAUGGCUGAGGCACAUGAUAGGCCUAGGUUCUGUUUCCUGAGAAGAUCUGUACUAAUUUCCACAGCAACUGGACAAAUUUUCACUCCCUCUAUUUGGUAAAUAAUGGCUCGUGUCUGCCCAUGUCAUCAGCAUCCCUAUUUAUUAAUGACUGACAUCUGACAAGGUGAGUCCAAGUCUCUGUAGUUUCUUUUCAUUUAUUCUGUGACCAUUUAACAUAUAUGUACAGUGAAACAUGAUCCAGUUAUUCCUCUGCUAGUGAAGUUUAACGUUUUUCAUGUUUUUGACCAUGUGUAUUGAUUCUGUGAGGAAUCUCUGUUCAUUUCAUCAUCUCUUAGAUUGUGAUGUUUGAUUUCAAUUAUAUAUCAUUUUGACAUUUUUAUGUUCUAUGUGUUAUUCAUAUGCCAAAUAUAUAAGAAGCAAAGGUUUUCUUCCAUUUUAGAGGCUGCCUCUUCAUCUCAUUGUCUCUAUUCCCAUUCAAAAGCUUUUUAAUUCUAUAAGCUCCUAGUUGUCAACCAAUGACUUGUCUCUGGAGCAACUUCCGAAGCCCUUCCCUAUAUCUUGAGUAUUUUCCCUACUCUUUCCUCUGAUAGUUCAGAACUUCAGGUCUUAAACUGAAGUCCUAGAUCCAGAAGGCAUUGCAAAUAAAAAUGGGGAUCUGGUAUCGUUGCUUUGCAUCUGGAUCUGCAGUUUUCCCAGCAUCAUUUGUUGAAGACCAUUGCUUUUCCUCUAGUGUGUCUUCUUUAACAUCUGUCAAGUGCAAAAGAAUGUAGAUGUGUGGGUCUAUAUCCAGCUCUCUCUUCCAUUCCACUCAGCUGUUCCUGUGUCACUAUCAGAGUGCUUCUGUCAUUAUGACUCUGAAGCCAUUCAGGUAUAGUGAUAGUGCCAGCAUUAAUCUUUUUCUUGGGAGUGUUCAGAAGUGUAAGGUAUUUUGUUUUUCUGUAUAUAUUUUAAGUUUGUGCUUUUUAUUUCUUUAAAGAAUGACAUCAGGGUUUUGGUAGAGAUUUUUAGAAUUAUAACUAAUUUCAUAGUAUUAACUCUUCAUAUAACUAUUUCCAUAAUAGUAACUCCUCAUGAAUAUGCAAUAUUCAUGAAGAAGGAUGUCUUUCACUCUUUGGGUGCUUUCUUCAAUAUUGCAAAUAUUCCUGAUAAAGCCUUUAACUUUCUUGUCUAGGGUAUGUUUUAGGCAUUUUUAAGUGGACUUGGUUUUGCUGAUUUCUUUCUUGGUACAAUUGUUCUGGCAUAUAGGUAGAGUGCUGGUUUUUGCACACUCAGGAUUUUGCAUAUCUGCCGCUUUGCAGCAUGUGUCCACAAGAACUCUAACUUUUCUGGUUGAGACCUUAGAGUUUCUGGUGCCUAGCAUUACCGUCUGCAAGUGAAGGUAUUUUGACUUCUUCUUUCUCUAUUUGCACCCCCUUUACAUUUCUCUAGUUAACGUUUUGAAAACAAUAUUGAACAAGACUGGAGGAGAUGGACGUCCCUGUAGUGUUUCUGAUUCUGCUGAAAAUAUUCUCUGAUAUUUUCCCACUUAGUGUAAUAGUGACUAAGGAUUUGUUGUAUGUAGCCUUUGUUAUGGUCAGAUACAAUUCUUCAUAAUGUCUUCAGGACUCUAAUCAUAAAUGGAAGUUGGACUUUGCCAAUAGCUUUUCUGUUCUUGGUUCUGUUUAUAUCAUCCAUUACCCUUAUUGGUUUGCAUAUGUCGAAUCAGGGUGACAUCUUUGAAAUAAGUCCAACGUGAUCAUCAUUAAUGACAUUUUUGAUGGGUUCUUUGAAACAUUAUAUUGAGAAUUCUUACAUUUAUAUUUAUUAAGGAUGUUGGUCAAUAAUUGAGUGUGUGUGUGUGUGUGUGUGAGAGAGAGAGAGAGAGAGAGAGAGAGAGAGAGAGAGAGAGAGAGACAGAUUGGGGUGUGUGUAUGUGAUUAUUGUGUGUGAUUGGUGUCUGUGUAUGUGUGAUUGGUGUCUGGGUGUGUGAUUGGUGUGUGUGUGUGUGUGUGUGUCUGUGUGUCUGUGUGUCUGUGUGUCUGUGUGUCUGUGUGUCUGUGUGUGUGUGUGAGAGAUUGGUGUUAGUAUCAGGGUGACAGCUAGCUCCAUCAGCAUAAUUUGUUAGGAUUCCUUUCUUUUCUGUUUUAAGGAAUAAUUUGGGCAGUUUUGGACAUAGUUCUUCUUUGAAGAUCUGGUAUUACUGAGUGGUAAAUGCAUCUUGGCCUGGACUUUUGUAGUAGAUAUAAAUUUUUAUUAUUCCUUUAUCUUAUUGUAUGUUAUAGAUCUAAAUAAGUAAUUUGUAUUAUCUUGGUUUAGUUUGGCUAGGUCAUAAAUGUCUAGAAUUCACUGUUUAUUUCAGAUCCCCUGAUUCAUUAGAAUAUACAUGACUAAGGUGUAUCCUAGUGAUUUUCUAAGUUUCACAGCAAUUUUUUAUAUCAUCUCCUUUUCCAUUUCUAAUCUUACUAAUCUGACUGUUCUUCCUCCAUAUUUUGGCCAAAUAUCUGCACACUCACUUUAAUCUUCCCAAUGACCAACUUUGUUUCGUUGUCUCUUUGCAUCGUUCUCCAUUUCUGUUUCAUUUCCUCCCUGAUCUUAAUUAUGUUUUUCCUUCAUAUACUAAUUUGCAGUUGGUGAUUUUAGCUUUUCCAAGGUCCUAAGAUAUCUCAGAUUAUUUGAGAUCAAUCAGAUUUUCAAUGUAUGCACUGAUAUCUAUAAACUGUUAGGAAAGUCUAUUUUUAAAUUUUCUCCAAGGAAACCACUGAGAGGAAGUGAAGGGGUGGUAACCAGGCAUCUUCUGUGGUGAUCCUGCAGAGGAUGGUCCUGCAGGCACAAUACGGACAGCGACUAAUAGAUGUUCAAGCAAACUUUCAAGCAUCCAGGCUUGUCACUGUUUGUGGAGGAAUGUAAAAAUAGCAUUGGGUUUGAAAAACAUUGCUGAAUGUCCCUGUAACAUUGGCUCAGAGGUAGUUCCUCUCCCUCACACAGAUAAUGGUAUCAAGUGCCACUUAGGGUUUCUUCUGAGGUAAUGAGAGCCAUGUGAAAUCCCUUCUGUGGGGAUUCGUCCUAUAGGACAGGAAAUAGCAUCCACCGCAUGGAAAUCUGUUCAGUGGGAUGGGUAUUGUCAAAGCCUUUCGAGGACAUCGACAAAGUUGUUAGAGUGCCACGUUAGGAAAACACCUCUGGUUACAAAGAUAAAUGCAGCUCCUCUGAAGGCCACAGGAGACGGGUGAAGACAAUGCAUUGGGUACCAUUUGACUGUGAGGACCUGACAGAUUUCCUUUGCCAGAAUGGGUGGGAUAGGAAGAACAGAGACGGAGCAGUAACUGUAGGAAGGCAGCAUGCAUUUUGCAAGUGUGAGAAUGAUACCAGAUCAGUGAGCAUCGGGGAUUCACUUUUGUCUGCUUGCCUUUGGGGUGUAUCCCAAGAUUAAUCAUUAAAACAUUUUCUUUUGUUCAAGACUGCAGUCUUGCCUAUAUGUCGUCUUAAUCCCCGUUCGCCUACUUAGUAAGACCAUUAUUCAAAUGGAGACCUGAAAAGAAGCCACGGCAUAUUGUAGACGCAUACCUUUGGCCAAUCCCGGAUGGAAAUUAUUUCCUGAAGCUUUGGCCCGAUCUUCUCAGGAUGAGUAGAAAGAGAUGUUAGGGGGAAGGAGGGGGAGCAGGAGACUAGAAGCAAAGUGGACAGAGAUCAUUGUGUGAUUGAUUAGUCUCCAUGGCAAGCAUAGGAUAUGUUUCUUAAUAUUGGCCAGAACAGGAACGACGGGCAUUUAGACUCAGAAAGACAAUGAGCUACUAGAAGAGACAGUGUGGUAAGGAUCUGCCCCAGUUUAUGUCAGGAGUAAUGUCCUCCCACAACUGGCAGCCUUACUUGCCCAGUCCUGCUACAGGAAGAAAAGAACGGGUGACCCAGAAUUGGACAAGGUAGUUCCUGACAUUAAUUCCUGAUAAGAAGUUCAUUUCCUAGGGUCCAGCUGAAGUCAUCCUCUUGAAACCCAUUUCCUUCCUUCGUCCUUCUGGAGCAGUAGCUCUUGGCCCUGGAGUAGAAGAUUCGGAGACCCAAGUGAAUGCUGCAGACGCACAUCUACGCACUGUCUCCCAUAAUCACUGGAGUCCACUGACAAUGGGUUGGCAGCAGUUUGAUUCUGCUGCAGCUCAUGACGGCUGCACGUGGGUAAAAGUCAAAGCCACGCCUCCCUGUUCCCUCCGUGCAGCGGGCAGAAGGCAGGGUGCACCUGAGCUGGGAUCCCAGCCUCGUGAGUAGUCCUGGCUGCGCAUGUGUGUAGCUGCACGGGUUCUCGCAGAGUGGAGUUCUUACUGGGCAGGAAGGGAAGGGGACAUCAUUGCCUACAAAGUUGUCAGCUGACGCCGAAAGCUGCCACAGCCUCCUAAGUGGCGGCUGCUUCCUUAUGUAUGCUACCUUUCUCCAUAGACAUUAUUAACCCAACUCAAUGGUGAACAAGCUGAAUCUGGGGAAAGAUGACUUUGAUUCUCUCAUACCAAGCACCUACGCCUAUGUGACUGUGGAGAGGUUCAUUGUUCAGUCAUUCCCAUCCCUGUAACGUGUCUCUUCCUCUUCCCUUCACAAAAGUUAAACUUAACGUGAAUUUUCCCAUUCCAGGUUACUUGUCCAGCUGAAUCCGGCUGCCGCUGCCCUUUCAAGUGUCUGUGUGUGAAUUAGAGAGAGGCACUUCUCCUCCCGGGUGGAUGCCACCCAGUGCCAAGGCACGUGGCUGGCAAGUGGACCUCGGGCUGGAUUUCAGCCCCCUCGCCCUUUGUCCAGUAUCUUUAUGAAGCCACCAACCUGCCCAGACUCACACAGCAGUCCUGAGCAUAAGUCCCCAAAAGCUGUUGGGUUUGCAGAGCUAAGGACCCGGCUUUGUUUUCCAGGAAGACUGCCUGCGGCAUGGUGAUGCCAGGCUCUCAACUAUUUAGCUAUUCACUAGCUGUGCCUUCUUAAACAAAUAGCUCUGAAAGUUUCCUCUUUUGAAGAGCAUGCACUAUAAAAAAAAAAAAUGAAAAGAUAAAGACUCUAGACAGAAAACCGAGGCAGGGUGUAACUUGGAGGCAGUUCAGCAAAUGAAAAUAUAUCAAUAAUGAAAUGGAACGCAAUUCAAAACAACUUAUGUUGUCUUUGGGCCCCAGAAAUAAUCUCCUUCCCAUUAUUAAGGAAGAUGCUAGCCCUUUCUCAUUUCUAGUAAAUUCAAAUCUUGCUUUCAAAAGAUGAUCAUGUCUAGCUAAAAUUGCUUCCACUUAGCUGUUAUCUUGAAAUGACAAACCCAUUAUUGCUGGCGUUUAUUGGCAUUAUUAUUAGUCAUUGUCAAACCCUGAAGGAAAAAUCAUGGACUGAAACCCAGGAAAAAGUAAUCUUAUUUUCAUAAAUAUGUUGCCAAAUAAUUAUGUCCAAUAUCCACUCCACUUUGGUAUGAACUUCUCACGUGAAACAGAAAUGGCCAAAGAUGGCUUAGAAAUCUGCCAGAAAAACGGAUAGAGAGAUAAGGCAUAUUUUGCAAUAUAUUAGCUUCUGCAUUGAUUGCGAACUUUAGAGCUUGUCUAAGGCCCACUUUUUUCCCCCCUAUCUUUUUCCAAGCACUGAUGGCUUUCUUCAGAGAGCAUAAUCAAUUUACCAAUGGAGCCCUGAGGCUGCCCCCAAUUUCCUUCAGUAAUAUAUGUUAAUGAUCUAGCAAAGGUAGCUUCUGAAUUAUUUAAGAAAUGAGAGGGAAUGAAAUUCAUCCCAGAGUUAAGGGUUGCAGUCUUCCUUACAUCCUCCGCCCACGGUGGCCAUAUACCAAUCACACCAACAUUGUUCCCUCUAGAAUUUAGAGCCUUUCGUUGUGCAUAGAUAAGAAGUCGCAAGCAACUAAGUGGGCACCAACCAGCUGUGAGACUAUACUGAGGGAUAUUUGGAAAUCAAAGGGCUUUUGAAAUAAGGGCUUGAACUUGAAAUGGAUAGCAUAUAGAGAAAUAGUGCCUGUUACUGUCUCCGUGUGCCCUUAACUUCCCUAUAUGCGGUUGUCCCUUCCCAAGUCUAUACCGCUGGAUACGUUUAUCUAUAGUGAGACAUAAAUAGCUUAUCAUCACUUCCUGAUACAUGACGCUUUGUUUCCAACAGUUAGUUAGCUCCACCAAUGAGCAGAGAGAGGCGGGACAUCAGACAGAAUCUUCCUGUCCACCCCUUGCCUGCAGAGGACAGCUUGUCUGGUGUUCACUUGCAAAAAUGCUUCAGUCCAGAUGAGAGAGAAAAGCCCCCCCAAACACCUCAAGUGGGCAAUCUUUCAUCCCUUCGCAAAGGAAGAAGAGAACGAGCAGUUAUUAACUAUGGCAGGAAAGACAGACUCUGAGAAGCCGGAAGUUGUCCUCUGGAAAAAUAGCCCGAAGUGCCGGACCGGAAGUAGCGCAGGGUACUUUGGAGCCGUGUAAUCAAAGGAGUACAAAAUGGAACCUGUUGUUUACUGAAGGAAACAAAUUUUAGAAACUUAGCAUUAAACAGAGUCACAGAGAGGGUUCAGAAGUGUGAGAUUGGAGUAUAGAGUGUGGACUGCUCCACACUUCCCCUGUAUGCUCGGAGCGUUGCUGGAGCCAUUUUAACCCCAGGAAUCCAGGUGUCCAGACUCCUUCUGACCUUAACAGCUCUGCCGUGGAGCAAAGUGAUGAAUUCUUCUUUACUUCCUAUUCCAUGAGGUUAUCUGACAUCCUAGGAGGAUGGCUGUCUUUUUUGUUUUAUUAUAUUUUAUUUUAUUUUAUUUUGGAUCCAGUACUUUAAUGUCCACAGGCUCGUAGUAACUUCCACACUUUUCUUUUUGACCUUGUCUUAACUACUAUUGUUGUUUUUAGGUUUCAAACCUGAAGUAGUUUAUAUUUUUUCUAUUGAAAAGUCCUAGGGGUUGGGGAUUUAGCUCAGUGGUAGAGCGCUUGCUUAGGAAGCGCAAGGCCCUGGGUUCGGUCCCCAGCUCCGAAAAAAAGAACCAAAAAAAAGAAAAAGGAAAAGUCCUGAGGCCUUCCAAGGAUUACCACUGAUAUCUUCUUCUGCCAUGGGACAUUAGAGAAACAAAGACAUGCGCUCUGCCCUGUGAAGAAGCAAAGAGAGUCUUCUAGGGCAUAAUCAUUGAUACUCUAGUCUGUAGACAAAUGGGAAUGAAUGCAGGGUCUCAGCCCAGCAAUUCCACACAGGGCGAAGCAAUGUGUUUUACUGGGAGAUGAUCUUCCAGAAAUAAGAACCCCAAAGUAGGAAGACCAGAGAAGCUUUGAAAGGGUCUGGUGGGUGAGAAAUUUGCAUCCCAGGGCCCCAUGAAAGCAGAUAUUGAUUAGCUUGAGGAAAGUGUGCCUUAAAACAGUCAUACUCCGCGUGCCAUUGAUCUUCAGACUGUCUCCCCAGGCUACAGCUCAGAGCUUAUCAAGGAAUUUAACAAUACCCUAAAGAAAAAAAUACUCAGUUGAAAGAGCAGAGGACAGCGAGACCCUGGAGGCCUCCCUUGAUUUUAAUAUUUUCAAGCUCUUCCAGAAGCUAUGGUGCUUUGAUCCAUCACUACUGGGAGAUGGGAGACUGGGGCUAAAAUUCACUUCUCGCUGAGGAAAAGGCACUUUGAUAUGAAUAAAUAAGCAGAUGUUUACUGUAUCGAUAUCCGACAUGCCUUCUUAUGGGGAUCUGGGGAGACUAUUAAUUGCGGUAAUGAAAACUCUUUAUAAUGACACGGCGGACCUGACUAACCUGACUCAAAGCUCAAAGUGAGUGCUCUAAGACACGGUGAGCAACAAAGAAAAGAGAGGAAAGAAAGAGACACCCACUCCUCGGGAAAUAGGCCUCGGAGAUACAUAAGACCUCUUGUCAGUAGUGAGAGUGAUGGGUGCAAUACCAUACCCAUGUGUAAUCACACACAUCUGUGUGCUCUCACAACGUGGUGAGCUCCUUUGAGCUCCAGUUUGGCCAGAGUGUGGUCAUGACAUUAUUCUUUUAUUGCAGACAGAUGAAGUGACUUGGCUUUGCGUAGGAAGCUUUGGAGAAACGGAUUUCCAUCUGAAGCAACUAAUUACUCAGCUGAAAGUGUUGUUCAAAAGGCAUUUGGCAAACGCUACCUAUUAUCCUCGAGAAGCCAUAAAUGAACUGCCACAGUGGAGCUCUGUCAGCUGACCCACGUGGCCGGGCUUGCCUUUCUAAUUGGAUGCACCUUCCAGCAAGCUGAUACUCAGAAAAGCAGAAGAAAUUGUCUUCCGUAUUUUGAAAUCAUAGAUUUUUUCCCCCACCAAUGUGACAAUGAGAGGGUGCAAGUGCUUCAGCUACAGAAUUCAGCAAGGCUAUCUCUCUGGUUGUGCUGUGUUGUGUGUGAGAUCUUAAUUACAUGUCCCCCUGCUGUAUCCAACAUCCAAAUCCUCCCACAUAAACUCAAUAUUGAAAACUCGGGUUGGAAGAUUGGUACUGAUUUUUUUUUAAAAGAUCUUCAAGCAAUUUAUUGGUGAGAGAGCAGUGUGCAAAGAGAUGUGUGUUCACUUGCACUAGUUAGAAAGUGCGUGCCCUUGAUGAACAACCAUGUGGUUGAAAUCACGGGAGGAAGAACUGUAAUGGCUCCCAAAUACCUAAUUGCCAUGGAUCGGUUAGAGAGACAAGUUGGAAGAAUGAAGGACAAAUUUCCGUAUUCUACCACAUGGAGCCACAAAAGUAACGCUGACUUCGGGGGCACACAGUUCGCUGCUUGCAAGGCUGAAGAUUCUUGUAAUACCGUCGACAAUCAGAAAAGGGAAGUGCUUCAUAACCCUGAAAUAUCCCUUGUGCUGAUCCUGAAUCCAAACUUUACCUUGUCCCAAGCCCUGAAACAUGCCCAUAAGAUUGGAAGAAUGCAAUGUGUAUCAUCGGCCGCUCCCUACUUGGCUGAGCUCCUCUGACAUCCGUCCAAUUUGCCGUACAGAUUGAUCAUUCCACGUUACAAAUGAGUAGCUUCAGCAUGGAAAUAAAGACAUGGUGUUCGUUUCUUCAGUCAUUCACGGACACUUGGAUAUUUCUAAUUUUUUAACCCUUACUGAUGGAAUAGUCACGAGCAUUUGCGGAUACAUUUAUGCACAAACCAAAGUUCUCCCUUCUCUGAAAUAAAUACCUAGGAAUAGACGGGUGGAUCAGGCCAAGAAAUAGCAAGUGCAGUUUUGCAUUAGCAUUAAAAAGCUGCCAACAUUUUCUUCAUAAAGAGCUGUGCCAGUUUCCACCCUGCCAGUGCAAAGUGUGAAAAUUACAGUAACUCCCAACUUGCUAGCACCUGGCAUUGUCUUUCUCGUGUGUACGUAUGCGUUCACGUGUGUUACAUGUGUGAUAAGUGCUUAUCUAUAAUAGUCUUCAUAACAGCUGUGGAACAACCUGCCACGACUCAUAUUCACAUUUAUUCAACGGUUGCUAAUUUGGGAAACAGUCACGUGCUUACUUUCAUCCGUGUGUCUUUAUCAAGUGUCCACUUAAAUAUCUCGCCUGUUAUAAUUGAGUUGUUUGUCUUAAGACUGUAUUGUGAGAGCUCAUUAUAUCAUAAUCAAGGUUUCUGAGUGACAUGCAAUUUGCACUUGUUUUUCUCAGGCUGCAGUUAUCUGUUCAGUCUCUUGAUGGCAUAACUCAGAGAACAAAUGGCAGAUUCGGAUUUUGAUGUUCAGUUGCUUGAUGCCUAGGUCUCCUAUGACUAAGCAGAGCUUGGUAAAUCUUAUACCUGCUUUCUUCCGUAAAUUUUCUAAUCUCGCCUUUCAUACUUUGGUGGGUGAUCCAGUCUUGGUCACUGUGUGAGAAAGUGGUAUGUUGCUCACCCCGCCACAGCUCCGACAAAGUACCUGCUAAGGUCAAGUUACAGGAGGGAAGACUGACGCAGGCUGGAGUUGUUCAAGGUUGAGCCUGUAGUGUGAGGUUGAGCUGUUCAAGGCUGAGCGUGGCAGUGUGAGGAUGUGAUACACAAGACUAUCCCCUAAGAAAUACAGAGCAAGGAAAGAGACUGGGCUUCCAAUAUUCCCUUUAAGGAUGUGUCCUCAGUGAUCUAACUUCCUCCUGUACCUGUAAUGUGUGUGUGUGUAUGUGUGUGUGUGUAUACAUAUAUAUAUAUAUAUAUAUGUGUGUGUGUGUGUGUGUGUGUGUGUGUGUGUGUGUGUAUACAUAUAUACAUAUAAUUUCGUAUAGUUUUGACCACACUGUUAUAACAUUUGGUUUCCACUAUCUUUCAAAUUUAAAGCUUGGUGUGGAAAAUGAAGUAUAUUAUAUCAUCCAGACAUCAAUCAUUUUUCUUGCUGUUCCUGUGUCACUGGCGUUCCAAAUUUCAUACUGAUAUUUUUCCCCCUUAGAAGAACUAUAUUCCUUUAGAACAGGUUUGUCAAGGAUGUAUAUUCUUUGUUUUCCUUCUGAGAUGAAUCUGUAUUUCAACUUUAUUCCUACAGUAUAUAUUUAUUUUGCUAGAUUUAGACUUCUAGGUUGACAAUGCUUUUCUUUCCACAUUUAAACAACGCUACUAUGUUGUGUCCUGGCAUCCGUAGUUUCUGGAAAGAAAAUAGUGGCCAUUUGAGUAAUUCUUUCUCUAAAUAUAAUUGAGUACUUUUCUCUGGUUGUUUGUAAGAUUUUCUUUCCUGAAUUUUUAGACAUGCGCAUGGGUGUAAAAGGUUACUGGUUUGUUUUUGUUUUGUUUGUUGUUUUAUUUAUCAUUCUGGGGACUCAUGAGUUUCUUGACUCUUAAGAUUAUUUCUAGUCAAAUCCAUGAUAAAUUGGGUUAUUAUUUCUUUCCAUAAUUUUUUUGUCCUUUAUAUUUUUCCUUAUUUUUCCUUUAGGUAUUUGGGGAUGUUUCAUGUUUCUUUCUGUGCUGUAGAAUUUAUUACGGGGUACUAAAGAUUUUGAAUGCCACAUUAUAGGACUGUAUGGAGAUUGUUGACCUUUAAAAAUAUAAUUUAACAUGCAAAUUG